rnacentral:misc_RNA from 1 species
UCCGGUUUAUCACCGGCAGUCUCCUUAGAGUUCCCGACCGAAUCGCUGGUAACUAAGGACAAGGGUUGCGCUCGUUGCGGGACUUAACCCAACAUCUCACGACACGAGCUGACGACAGCCAUGCAGCACCUGUCUCACGGUUCCCGAAGGCACUCCUCUAUCUCUAGAAGAUUCCGUGGAUAUCAAGGGUAGGUAAGGUUCUUCGCGUUGCAUCGAAUUAAACCACAUGCUCCACCGCUUGUGCGGGCCCCCGUCAAUUUCUUUGAGUUUUAACCUUGCGGCCGUACUCCCCAGGCGGAGAGCUUAACGCGUUAGCUUCGAUACUAAGGAAGUUAAUCCCCAACAUCUAGCUCUCAUAGUUGACAGCGUGGACUAC